rnacentral:lncRNA from 1 species
GUCUGACUGCAAGAGGUGUUUAGGGACCUAAAGAUGCAGACCAUGAACUGAAAUGAAUUUAUUUUCCAAUUUGGCAGAGAGCAACCAGUUUACUGAAAACAGAAGUACUGGAGUAACCUUUGAAACAAAGGACUUCAAAGUGACAGCAGGCUGCGUAUCUGGCACUAGCGAAACAAGUGGAACAUCCAGUGAUGGAGAUGAUGAAGAUGACCAAGAUGAAACAUACUUUUCUGUUUCUCUGUCUCCCACUGGAAUCAGAACCAGCAGGAAGAGGCCAAAGAAAAAGAGUAGGCAGUCACCAGCUCAGAAGAAAAUGAAAACAGUUGAUAUGGAAGAAGUGAUGUUGGUACCAGAAAAGGUAGAGGACAGAGAAGCAGCAGUACAGGAAAAGGGGGAGAACAGAGCAGAAAAAGCACAGCAAGCAACUGCUCAGUGUUCAGUAUCUGAAACUGUCAAGUUUGUGGUCCUUGCACUCUCUGUGUUUCUGAUCUUCGUGCAUCUGACUAUGAUGGUAAUACUAACAGUCUGCUCGUGA